rnacentral:rRNA from 1 species
AUUACCGCGGCUGCUGGCACGAAGUUAGCCGGGGCUUCUUCUUCCGGUACCGUCAUAAUCGUCCCGAUCGAAAGGAGUUUACGUCCCGAAGGACUUCAUCCUCCACGCGGCGUUGCUGCGUCAGGGUUUCCCCCAUUGCGCAAAAUUCCCCACUGCUGCCUCCCGUAGG